GACGAACGCUGGCGGCGCGCCUAACACAUGCAAGUCGAGCGAUGAAAUUUUAACCGAUCUCUUCGGAGAGAAGAUAAAAUGGAUUAGCGGCGGACGGGUGAGUAACACGUGAGAAACCUGCCUUUCACAAGGGGAUAGCCUCGGGAAACCGGGAUUAAUACCCUAUGACACAUUUCCUUCGCAUGGAAGAAAUGUUAAAACUCUGGUGGUGAAAGAUGGUCUCUCGCCUGAUUAGCUAGUUGGUGGGGUAACGGCCCACCAAGGCCAUGAUCAGUAACCGGGCUGAGAGGGUGAACGGUCACAUUGGAACUGAGACACGGUCCAAAAUCCUACGGGAGGCAGGAGAGGGGAAUAUUGCACAAUGGAGGAAACGCUGAUGCAGCGACGCCGGGUGAGCGAUGAAGGCGGGCGAGAAGUAAAGCAGGGUCCUAUGGGAAGAUAAUGACGGUACCAUAGGAGGAAGCCCCGGCUAACUACGUG
rnacentral:rRNA from 1 species